UCUUCUUCCGCAGUCCCGGGGCGGUACGGCCCAGGCCUGUUCGGGGCGUGCGUCGGCUUGGCCGGCGGCCGAGGAAUUCUGGGUAACGACCGUGGCCGGCGGGGCGGCUGGCUCCGCCCAGCAGGUUCUACUCACGCCAGGGCAGUUGGCGGUGGCGGUUGUCGGGCCCGGACCAGCGGGACAUGGAGCAGCCGUGGCCGCCGCCGGGCCCCUGGAGCUUCCCGAGGACUGUCGGGGAGGCCGAGGAGGAGAGCGACUUGGACGUGUCCCCCUCUUCUUCCCACUACCCGCCGGUGCCUGGCGGCGGCGCCCAGAUGUAUAGCGAUGGGAUUGAGCUAGCUUGCCAAAAGCAGAAAGAAUUUGUGCAGAGCUCUGUGGCGUGCAAAUGGAAUCUUGCUGAAGCCCAGCAGAAACUUGGCAGCUUAGCACUGCAUAACUCUGAGUCCUUGGAUCAGGAACAGGCCAGAGCACAGACCGCGGUGUCAGAACUGAGGCAGCGGGAGGAAGAAUGGCGGCAGAAGGAGGAGGCUCUGGUCCAGAGAGAGAGGAUGAGUCUCUGGAACAUGGAUGCCGUUAGCAAGGAUGUUUUCAAUAAGAGUUUUAUUAAUCAAGAUAAAAGAAAAACAGAAGAUGAAGAUAAAUCACAAUCAUUUAUGCAGAAAUAUGAGCAAAAAAUCCGACAUUUUGGUAUGUUGAGUCGGUGGGAUGAUAGUCAGAGAUUUCUGUCUGACCAUCCGUACAUUGUAUGUGAAGAAACUGCUAAAUACCUUAUUUUAUGGUGUUUUCAUCUAGAAGCUGAGCAGAAAGGUGCUCUAAUGGAACAAAUAGCACAUCAGGCUGUGGUAAUGCAGUUUAUUAUGGAAAUGGCCAAAAACUGUAAUGUGGAUCCAAGAGGCUGUUUUCGUUUGUUUUUCCAGAAAGCCAAAGCAGAGGAAGAAGGUUAUUUUGAGGCAUUCAGAAAUGAACUUGAAGCUUUCAAGUCAAGAGUAAGACUUUAUGCUCAAUCACAAAGCUUUCAACCUGUAACAGUUCAGAAUCAUGGUCCCCAUUCUGGUGUUGGAUGCAUAGGCUCCUUAGAAUCCUUAACACAGGCUCCAAGAUUUUAAGACCAGCUUUAGCCAGUUUAUUCUGUUGUCUACAUUGGGAGAUGGAAAGUGUCAUUCAGAAGACAAUGUGAGGAGAGUCCUGUAUUUAUCUUUAAGCCUCAAAAUGAAUCCAGAUUAUCUCCAUCAUUCUAUCAGCCCACCGCUCUGCAGUGUCAGCUCAGUGGUACAUAAAGAGGAAGAGGAGAAAAUGAUGGAUACUGUGUAACUCGUGGCAGACUGCUGAGGCCAAGGACUAUUUUGUUACAGGAAAGGAAGAGCUUGGCUAUUUUCUUGACACUUUGAUGGGUGCUGCACUUUAUUUUUGUUCGGUUUUUGAUGGGAGGAAGAGUACUGAAAUGUUCUGCAACUUUUUUUAUGUGCUGCUAGGGUUUUUUGUGGUUUGGUUUUGUUUCUGAAGGGGGGAGUGGUACCAUAUGUUGCAGGAAGUCAAACUGGACUCUCCCCCACCCCUCAGUUACUAAAUUUGCCUUUAACUGUUCUUAAUUUGGAAUCAAAGUAUGAAAAUCUGCACAAUGCAAUGUUUACAAGACUGGCCGACUGAGGAGGCAUCUGCUACGUGGUCUUUUUACCGUGGAUGUGUACAUGUCCUAUUUCGUGGAAAGAAUUAAAGAUACAAGUGUGCUUAUGUCCCACUGCAAAGUUCAGCUGUCACAUCUGGUGUUCAUCACAUUAAAAGCAAUAAAUUAGUAGUGGUAACCUACUUUACUAAUAAGUACACUGGAUGGCACAAAUUAUUGUUUUAAGGUAAUAUUUACGUUUGUAUUUUCGGCACCACCAGUUAACUCCUUGACUAUAAAUUUGGUGUUAAAAACAUGACAUUUACCCUCAAGUAGUCUCAAAACUGUUGAGAAGUUGACUUUGUCCUGAUGACUGUUUAAAUAUUGAGUGUAGCACGUGUAGAAAGCGAUACAGUUUUCUGUUUUCCAACAAGAUGAACUGCAAGCUUACUCUGAUCUCUUUACUUGACAUAGUCUGGGACCUCUCAGGGAGUAAGUUUUAAAAGAAUAGCAAGGGCCUGUAAGAACAAACGGGAAGAGUAAGGUCACUGUUAAAUCACCAUUGUUGUGUGCUUUCUCUGGUGAAGCCUUGAGAAACGUUGUAGCGCUAAGCUGCCUUGAGCUGCCAGCCAUGUCUAAGAACUUGAUAACAGUCACCCUCAGUGGUGAUGAUGGGUUUCACUCCAUCUGUUACUAGCUUCUAGCUCAGUUACGAGAUGCUUCUGAGCUUUACUUCUUCCUAUGUAAGUCACUGCAGAUCCACCAGGAUAUUUGAUGAUUCUUUUUAUUUAGAAUUAGAUGACAGUGCCAAUUAUGAUAUCCUUAUUAUUUGAGGAUUAAUCUUCUGACAUACAGGACCAUUAGCCUUGAUUAUUUUUGAGUGUAAUCUUUGGCUCAGUACCCACUUUAAUUCAUAGCAAAUAUUUGGAAAGUGGGUGCCUGGGGUUGGAAAUAUAGGUCUCAGUUUGAGUAAGAAAAUCAUGUUAAGCAGCCUGCAUGGGUCAGAGCGGUGACCUUGGCUUCAUCUGUCUUCUGUCAGCCAAGGGGGCUGAAUCAAUACUUGUGGAAAUGGACUGGAAUCAUUGAAUCAUACUCCUGUAAUGUCACAAUCUUCCUGGUUCCCAGAAUAAAAGUCUUUUUGUGCUUUUGAUAUAAAUAUAUAUACUCUAUAAUAAAAUGUUUGACUAAUUUA